rnacentral:lncRNA from 1 species
ACCCCCCUUCUCCGGCGACCCCCAGUAAGGUACCUUUCUCCUCUCUCUCAGGAUUAGCAAUGCCACGCUCGAUGAAAAUAGGUGCCGCAUGAGCAAAUACUCUCCGAAAUCCACUCAAUUUCGCCACUCUGAAGUUGAUCAGAUCAGGAAAUGUACACCGAGCACUCCUCUAUGCUCUACCAACAACACAACAUCAAAAUGUGACAGAGACAGAGUAUAUACCACAAUGAUGAGAUAAAAGACUUCAUUUUUUCUCGUUUUAUCUAUUGGAGUUACAUUGGGCCUGCAGCCCAAUCCAGUGAAUCAGCCUCAACAACAAAGCAGCAGCAGCCCAAACCAAGCCCAAGCUGCACCUUUAUUUAUUUCUAGCCCAAUGGACCAAUGGCCCAAUGUAUUGUAAAAGAAACAAUAUAGUAGAUAUUUUGUAUAUGUACAGAUAGAUUAGAUGGUUUUUUCUUCCGGAAGCUUCUGGGAAGUUACAGAGACUCAGUCUCGUUUUUCUCUCUGUGUAAUAAUGAAGAACUUUUCUUCUUUCUCUCUCAAUAAUCUGAAAAUCAACACCGUUCAUGCAUGGCAAUCGUUAAUCUUCACAUUAUCUCCGCUCCCGUUUUAGGUUAGCUGAUUAAAACUAGUUCAUAAGCAUUAUAUGCUAAAAACACCUUUUAGUACUAAAACCAAUUUUGGAUUACGAUUCCGCUUCUCACGCACUCCGUCACGAUGUUACUCUCAUCAUUUUCCAUCAAAGUUUCUGUGUUCUCCGACAAAUCUAGGUUUUUCUCCAUUUCUCUAUUUUUUUUUUGGAUAAUCCUCGGUGUUUGUUGAUUUUCUCUGAGUUUUCUGAGUUUUCUACGCUUCAUACUUUCUUUCCUCAGUUUCAGCCGAUUUUUGGAAUUUUUUGUGUACCUAGGACCAUUUAGGUUUAUUCUAUCUUACAAAUUCCAAGCCCUUUCUCAGUCAAAAUGGUUAAUACUGGUGAUACCUCUGAGUCUAGGACUGAUAAUUUUGUAAUUGACCCUUCGAAUACUUUGUUUCUGUUGUCUUCUGAUGUUCCGGAGAGUCUAGGACUGUUAAUUUUGUGAUUGAACCUUCAAAUCCUUUGUUUCUGUUGUCUUCUGAUGUUCCGGGAAUCUCUUUGGUAAGCAAUCAUUUUUCAGGGAUUGGUUUUGGGGGUUGGAGACGUAACAUAAUCCUCUCAUUAUCCGCUAGAAAUAAGAUAGGUUUCAUUAACGGAACACUUCCCAAACCUCCAGAUAACUCUCCUCAAUCUAGACAAUGGGAUAGGUGCAACAACAUGGUUAUAUCUUGGCUUACCAAUUCCCUUGCCCCAGAGAUAGCAGAGAGUGUUCAAUAUUCUGACACUGCUCAAAGCAUAUGGAACCAGCUGAAUAGUCGAAAUGGGACUGUUAAUGGCACCAGGAUAUUUGAGAUUAAGCAGGAAUUGGCAUCAACAAAUUAGGGGUCUUUGGAUAUAGCAUCGUAUUUCAACAGGUUGAAGAAACUGUGGGAUGAGCUGGGUUUCAUGCGUGCAUCUCGUGGUAACACUUGCACAUGCAAUGCCAGAUCCGAGCUCCAAAGGGAGGAUGAUGAAAACAAAUUGCAUCAGUUUCUUAUGGGGCUCAAUGACAUCUAUGUAGGAGUCAGGAGCAACAUUCUCAUGUUACAGCCUCCACCAACUCUGGAUUGUGCAUACAACAUUUUACUCUAAGAUGAGAGACAAAGACAAGUUUCAUCACCUUCCCAGUUUCGCCAUGAUUCGAGUGCUUUCAACACUCACUUCAGCAACAAAUCUUCUCAUAUCACCAAAUUUCCUCCCACAGCUGGGUACCCUAAGCAAUUCAAUCAGAGAAUCAAUUUUGACCUCAACAGGGCAAACUUAGUAUGUAGGUAUUGUAAGAAACCUGGACACCUCAUUGACAAGUGCUACAAACUUCACGGAUUUCCAUCAGACUUCAAAUUCACAAAAGGUGUUCCAUCAGACUUCAAAUUCACAAAAGGAAGGAGGAGUGCAGCACAUGUUGAAGUACAGGGGUGUCUAAACUCUGCUGAAACUCAGAACAGUACUGCCAAUGCUCAGGGGGCUUCUGAAUCAGAGUCUCUCAUACCUGGGGGAAUCCAAACUCUGCUGGUACUCAGAACAGCAAUGCCAAUGCUCAGGGGGUUUCUGAAUCAGAUUCUCUCAUACCUGGUUUAACCAAAGAUCAAUACUCACAGCUUAUGUUGCUUCUUCAACAGACACAAAUUUCAGAAUCUAUGGCAUCAUCCAACUUUGCUGGUAACCUUUCUUCCACCACUCACUUAAAGAAUGUAUCCUAUGGUGCCUGCAUGUUAACUAAAUUAAGUGACUGCAUUUGGAUUAUAGAUUCUUGUGCCACUGAUCACAUGACCUCCAAUAAAGACCUUCUGUUUGACAUUAAGCCUUUAACUAUACCUUAUCUAGUUACCUUACCCAAUGGUUAUAAGGUUAAGUAACCUGCACUAGGUCAAUUCAGUUUCUUUGUUUCACUCUACAUCAUGUCAUUUAUAUUCCCAGUUUUCAAUACAAUCUCAUCUCUGUGUCUAAACUUGUGUGCCAGUUGAAUUCUACUGUCCUAUUUACUAAAUUCUCUUAUUUAAUACAGGCCCCUUCUCUGAAGAGGCCACUAGAGAUUGGUAAAUUGGAUGAUGGUCUCUACAGGCUUGUUCAAUCUUCUUCUCUUCAGUCUGUUGAUCAUUGUAAAUCUCAUUCUCCAUUAACUGUUGGUUCUGUUUCUACCUCUCAUUGUUCAUAUCAUUCUGAAUCUAAUAAAAUGGAGAUUUCACGGCACAAUAGACUAGGGCAUAUACCUUUUGUUAGGAUGAAAGACAUGUCUUCUAUACCAUGUACAUUUUCAACAAACCAGCCUUUCCUUUGUCCUAUAUGUCCUCUGGUCAGGCAAUCCAGACUACCAUUUUCUGAUAGUUCCAUUUAAACAACACAUCCCUUUCAACUCAUCCAUGUUGAUACAUGGGGUCCCGAUGCCACUCCUACUCAUAAUGGUUGUAGAACUACCUUUUCCUGAUAGCUCCAUUAAAACAACACAUCCUUUUCAACUGAUUCAUGUUGAUACAUGGGGUCCCUAUGCCACUCCUAUUCAUAAUGGUUGUAGAUACUUUCUCACAAUUGUUGAUGAUUUUACCAGAGCAACUUGGACCCACCUUAUGGGAUCCAAGAGCAAUGCCUUUCCUCUUAUCAAAGCCUUCAUUGCCAUGAUUAAAACUCAAUUUCAGUCUAUGGUACAAACCAUUAGGAGUGAUAAUGCCUUUGAACUUGGCUCUAGUAGCUGUGGCAGCAAUUUCUUUGCUGAAAAUGGUAUACUGCAUCAAACUUCCUGCUCUCACACACCACAACAAAAUGGUGUAGUUGAGAGAAAGCAUAGAUAUCUGCUAGAAACCUCCAGGGCUUUACUCUUCCAUUCACAGCUCCCUAUUAGAUUCUGGGGUGACUGUGUACUUACUGCAACCUACUUAGAAACCUCCAGGGCUUUACUUUUCCAUUCCCAGCUCCCUAUUAGAUUCUGGGGUGACUGUGUACUUAGUGCAACCUACCUCAUUAACAGGUUUCCUUCCAAAAUUCUUCACAAUAAGUCCUCUUUUGAGUUGCUAUUUGGACAGAUUCCAUCCUAUAACCAUCUUAAAACUUUUGGUUGCCUCUGUUUUGCCUCAGUCCCUAAAUAGAAUAGGGACAAUUCCAACCUAGAGCUGAUCCCUGUGUUUUUCUGGGCUAUCCUUUGGGUAAAAAGGAUUACAAACUGUAUAACUUGAAGUCUAAAAUUACUCUAAUCUCCAGGGAUGUCAUUUUUCAUGAAGAUGUCUUUCCUUUUGCCUCUACAGGGAACUCUUUCCAUGGUUCCUUUCCUCCUCCUACUCCUUCUUCUGCCUGUAUUCCUCCUGUUGAUGACUUCUUACCCAAUCCUCCCUUAUCUCUCACCCAGCAACCUCUUGCUUCAGCUUCCCCUUGCUCUUCCCCUUCACACAAUCUUUCAGUGCCUACCUUAUCUGUUCCAGAAGAUCCACUAGGACACAUGUUCUUCCUGCUCACCUGCAGCAGUAUGUUUGCAAUCUUCCCCCUUCUAUCUCUGGCCCCAUUUCUUCUUCCACUUGUCUUCAUAGUUUAGUUAGCAUUACAGAGACUGAAACUUCCUCCUAUAAGCAGGCAGCCUCCAUUCCUGCUUGGCAGGAGGCAAUGGCCAAGGAAUUUGCAGCCUUGGAGGCCAAUCAUACCUGGUCUCUGGUUCCCCUUCCCCCUGACAAGAAACUUAUUGGUUGCAAGUGGGUUUAUAAGAUAAAAUAUAGGGCUGAUGGAUCUAUGGAGAGGCAUAAGGCCAGGCUGGUUGUUAGGGUUGACACCCAGAUUGAGGGGGUAGACUUUACUGAGACAUUCUCUCCUGUUGUCAAAUUUUCAACUAUUAAAUCCCUUAUUGCUGUGGCUGUCAAACAACAUUGGUCCCUUUUUCAAUUUGAUGUCAAUAAUGCCUUCCUACAUGGUGACUUAGCUGAGGAAGUCUAUAUCAUGUGGCUGUCAACCAACAUUUGUCCCUUUUCCGACUUGAUGUCAAUAAUGCCUUCCUACAUGGUGACUUAGAUGAGGAAGUCUAUAUGAAAUUGCUUCCUGGUCUGGAAGUUGACUGUGCUACCUCUUCUUCUCCUUUGGUUUGUGUACUUCAGAAAUCUUUAUAUGGUUUAAGGCAAGCUUCUAGGCAAUGGUAUGCCAAGCUGUCCCAGGCCUUAUGUUCUAAGGGUUUUUCUUCUUCUCUCAAUGAUUAUUCUCAUUUCCUUAAAAAAUCUGGCUCUUCUAUUGUUCUGUUGGCUGUAUAUGUUGAUGACAUCAUUCUUACUGGUAAUAAUCUGGAGGAGAUCACUGCCUUGAAAUGUUUUCUGGAUAAUGAGUUUAAAAUCAAGAACUUGGGGGUGCUUAACUACUUUUUGGGUAUUGAGGUCAGUUAUCUUCCUACUGGGAUUCUUCUCCACCAAAAGAAGUUUAUCAUUGACCUACUCAAAUCUCAUCACUGUGAGGCCCUGUUACUUGCCCUCUUGACCUCUCUGUUAAACUCAAGCUUGAUAUGGGUGAUCCCCUUCCCUCUCCUGAAUCCUAUAGGUGUCUAGUGGAAAAACUCAAUUUUCUCACCCAUUUUCUGGAUAAUGAGUUUAAAAUCAAGGACUUGGGGUGCUUAACUACUUUUUGGGUAUUGAAGUCAGUUAUCUUCCUAAUGGGAUUCUUCUCCACCAAAAGAAGUUUAUCACUGACCUACUCAAAUCUUAUCACUGUGAGGAUGUCUCCCCUGUUACUUGCCCUCUUGACCUCUCUGUUAAACUCAAGCUUGAUAUGGGUGAUCCCCUUCCCUCUCCUGAAUCCUAUAGGUGUCUAGUGGAAAAACUCAAUUUUCUCACCCACACUAGGCCUGACUUGGCCUUUGCUGUACAUCAUUUGAGUCAGCAUCUUCAGAAACCUACAUCCUCUCACAUGCUUGCUGCUUUGCAUACCCUGAGAUACCUUAGAGGCACUUCUGAGAUUGGCAUUUUUCUCAGCAACUCUCCUGGUCUCUCCUUAUCUGCUUAUUGUCAUAGAGAGACACUUCUGAGAUUGGCAUUUUUCUCAGCAACUCUCCUGGUCUCUCCUUAUCUGCUUAUUGUGAUAGUGACUGGGCUUCUUUGCCAAACACCAGGAGGUUUGUUUCUGGCUUCUGUGUUUUGUUAGGUGGUUCUCUCAUUGGUUGGAAAGCUAAGAAACAGCAUGUGGUAUCUCUGUCUUCUGCUGAGGCUGAGUAUAGAGCCAUCAGCAAGGUUGUUGGUGAACUAACCUGGCUCAUUCGGUUGUUGUCUGAUUUUGGGGAUCCUGUUACCACUCAUGUACCAGUCUAUUGUGAUAAUCAAGUAGCACUUCACAUUGCAAAGAAUCCUGUUUUUCAUGAGCGCACCAAACAUAUUAAGGUGGAUUGGGGUUCCUGUUACCUCCUCUGUCCCAAUCUUUUGUGAUAACCAAGUAGCACUUCACAUUGCAAAGAAUCCAGUUUUUCAUGAACGCACCAAACAUAGAAGUGGAUUGUCAUUUCAUGAGAAGCAAACUUCAUGAAGGACUAGUUGAUUGCACCAUGUCGCUACUACCUCUCAGCUUGCGGAUAUCUUUACCAAACCCCUUACUGGUAUUUUGCAUCAUUCUAUCAUGCUCAAGUUGGGAGUUUAGUCACCCUCCAACUUGCAGGGGGGUGUUGGAGUUACAUUGGGCAUGCAGCCCAAUCCAGUGAAUUAGCCUCAACAACAAAGCAGCAGCCCAAACCAAGCCCAAGCUGCACCUUUAUUUAAUUCUGGCCCAAUGGCCCAAUGUAUUGUAAAAGAAAUAAUAUAGUAGAUUUUGUAUAUGUACAGAUAGAUUAGAUGGUUUUUUCUUCCGGAAGCUUCUGGGCAGUUACAGAGACUCAGUCUCGUUUUUCUCUCUGUGUAAUAAUGAAGAACUUUUCUUCUUUCUCUCUCAAUAAUCUGAAAAUCAACACCGUUCAUGCAUGGCAAUCGUUAAUCUUCACAUUAUCUCCGCUCCCGUUUUAGGUUAGCUGAUUAAAACUAGUUCAUAAGCAUUAUAUGCUAAAAACACCUUUUAGUACUAAAACCAAUUUUAUAAAUAGGCGGCUACAUGUUUUCCAUGUUAGUUUGAUUAAGAGUGGUACACUAGUAUUUGUUAUGAACUAAAGUUUAGAUAUCCAAAAAGUAUAAUAAAUUGCAAUUCAGUUAUAUUAAAGUGUUGAAAAAAUAUAUUGUAUCAUACUGACCGAAGUUCAGUUAGUAGUUGAAACAUACCCAAACACACAAGUACGGAAAUAUUCUCCAAAAUCAAAGUUAAGUAUAUGAUUACCUGAGAGGAGGGAACCAAAGCAACAUACGGAGAAAAUUAAUACAACAAUUGUUAAAAAUUACUACUAAAUUUAACUAUUCUGAAGGUACAUAAAAGUAUCGAAAAUACAGAAAAUGUAACUUCCUAAAAGAUACUAGUCAAAGUUCACAUGUUGUAGGAUCAGAGGAAAUAUGAAUAUAUUAAUUUACCUGAGAGGAGAGAACCGAAGCCGCAAAUGGAGAUAAGUCCAUCGGAAGAGACAAUUCGAUCAAGGUCGGACUCAUUAGAGAGUUCCAAAGGAAAAUUAAUUUCAUCAUCGGCUGCAGCAGCGGCGGCGGAAGGCAUGGUGAAUUUUGGCGGGAAAAAUAUCUCCGGCGAGGAAAAGAGAAAUUGAGGGAACGAGG